rnacentral:rRNA from 1 species
GGAUGGGCUCGCGGCCUAUCAGUUUGUUGGUGAGGUAAUGGCUCACCAAGACGACGACGGGUAGCCGGCCUGAGAGGGCGACCGGCCACACUGGGACUGAGACACGGCCCAGACUCCUACGGGAGGCAGCAGUGGGGAAUAUUGCACAAUGGGGGAAACCCUGAUGCAGCGACGCAGCGUGCGGGAUGACGGCCUUCGGGUUGUAAACCGCUUUCAGCAGGGAAGAAGCGCAAGUGACGGUACCUGCAGAAGAAGUACCGGCUAACUACGUGCCAGCAGCCGCGGUAAUACGUAGGGUACGAGCGUUGUCCGGAAUUAUUGGGCGUAAAGAGCUCGUAGGUGGUUGGUCACGUCUGCUGUGGAAACGCAACGCUUAACGUUGCGCGUGCAGUGGGUACGGGCUGACUAGAGUGCAGUAGGGGAGUCUGGAAUUCCUGGUGUAGCGGUGAAAUGCGCAGAUAUCAGGAGGAACACCGGUGGCGAAGGCGGGACUCUGGGCUGUAACUGACACUGAGGAGCGAAAGCAUGGGGAGCGAACAGGAUUAGAUACCCUGGUAGUCCAUGCCGUAAACGUUGGGCACUAGGUGUGGGGGGCAUUCCACGUUCUCCGCGCCGUAGCUAACGCAUUAAGUGCCCCGCCUGGGGAGUACGGUCGCAAGGCUAAAACUCAAAGGAAUUGACGGGGGCCCGCACAAGCGGCGGAGCAUGCGGAUUAAUUCGAUGCAACGCGAAGAACCUUACCAAGGCUUGACAUACACCGGACCGUCCUGGAAACAGGUCCUCUUCUUUGAAGCUGGUGUACAGGUGGUGCAUGGUUGUCGUCAGCUCGUGUCGUGAGAUGUUGGGUUAAGUCCCGCAACGAGCGCAACCCUCGUUCUAUGUUGCCAGCACGUGAUGGUGGGAACUCAUAGGAGACUGCCGGGGUCAACUCGGAGGAAGGUGGGGAUGACGUCAAAUCAUCAUGCCCUUUAUGUCUUGGGCUUCACGCAUGCUACAAUGGCUGGUACAGAGAGAGGCGAACCCGUGAGGGCAAGCGAAUCCCUUAAAGCCAGUCUCAGUUCGGAUCGUAGUCUGCAAUUCGACUACGUGAAGUUGGAGUCGCUAGUAAUCGCAGAUCAGCAACGCUGCGGUGAAUACGUUCCCGGGCCUUGUACACACCGCCCGUCAAGUCACGAAAGUCGGUAACACCCGAAGCCGGUGGCCUAACCGUAAGG